rnacentral:rRNA from 1 species
UUAAGUGACGAUAGCCUAGGAGAUACACCUGUACCCAUGCCGAACACAGCAGUUAAGCCCUAGAACGCCUGAAGUAGUUGG